ACGUAUUUAGGGUCAACACUUAAGGAUUUUGUUAACUUUUUAGAAGGUAAACAUCCAGUAUGUG
rnacentral:tRNA from 1 species